rnacentral:rRNA from 1 species
CCUACGGGAGGCAGCAGUGAGGAAUAUUGGUCAAUGGACGAGAGCCUGAACCAGCCAAGUAGCGUGAAGGAUGACUGCCCUAUGGGUUGUAAACCUCUUUUAUAUGGGAAUAAAAUGUUCCACGUGUCGGAUUUUGUAUGUACCAUAUGAAUAAGGAUCGGCUAACUCCGUGCCAGCAGCCGCGGUAAUACGGAGGAUCCGAGCGUUAUCCGGAUUUAUUGGGUUUAAAGGGAGCGUAGGUGGAUGGUUAAGUCAGUUGUGAAAGUUUGCGGCUCAACCGUAAAAUUGCAGUUGAAACUGGCAGUCUUGAGUACAGUAGAGGUGGGCGGAAUUCGUGGUGUAGCGGUGAAAUGCUUAGAUAUCACGAAGAACUCCGAUUGCGAAGGCAGCUCACUGGACUGCAACUGACACUGAGGCUCGAAAGUGUGGGUAUCAAACAGGAUUAGAUACCCGAGUAGUC